AAUAAGGUCAGACUUGGAAAGAGAUUUAAAAGCUCUUUGAUCAGUGGUGCUUUCACACUGGAGGAGGUGCCAGUUUUCAGCUGCACAGGUUUCAUAUUGUCAUAGUCUUAGCAAUUGAAUACAUAAAUAUGAUCCAAGGCUAUAAUUCUUUUUGAUGAUUAAUAUUGAUUAUCUGAUUAACUAUGGCCAC